CUUUAGGUAAAAUAAAGUGUUCUGGUGCCCUCCAGCGCCGCGAAACUGAAGUAUUAUUAAUACGUGGUAUUUUUACAGGAGAUCAAAACUCAAUUCCUGACACUCUCCGGGACUAUCAUCCAUUCCUGAGCCUCAGGGUACUAUAAACAACAGACUAUGUUCCUCCAUCUACUUACCUCAACUGAUGUUUUCCAAAGCAUGAAAGUCUGAACAGUAAACCUCCAUCUGUUAGAGGAAGAAAGAGACAGCAGUUACUACCCACAUGAUGUGGAUUCUCUGCAGCUCACCUGCUGAGGUGAAGAGGCAGUGCUGCGGCCUAAAUGACAAGUACAUGUUCCUGCUGGAAACCAGUACAGUGUCCAUGAUAUUCCAACUACUUUCAAGUAGAAAACACAAAUUGUGUAUGUGUGUGCUUUAAACAAUUAGAACCCAACAAUUAAACUGAUACAAGUGGUUUAAA